rnacentral:rRNA from 1 species
UACGUAGGUGGCGAGCGUUGUCCGGAUUUACUGGGCGUAAAGCGCGUUCAGGCGGUUUGGCAAGUCGGGCAUGAAAUCUCUCGGCUCAACCGGGAGAGGUUGUCCGAUACUGCUGGACUUGAGGGCAGUAGAGGGUGGUGGAAUUCCGGGUGUAGUGGUGAAAUGCGUAGAUAUCCGGAGGAACACCAGUGGCGAAAGCGGCCACCUGGACUGCACCUGACGCUGACACGCGAAAGCUAGGGGAGCGAACGGG